UAAUUGACGGGUAAAGAAGGGGUAGGGAGAGGGGCCCAGGAAAAAGCACACAUACAAAAAAACAAAAUGUGGAAGUAACAAUGAGGUACUAUCAGGAAUGGGACGGAAACAUAAUGCAGAUGAGGAAGUACACCUGUGGAAGCUUGGGUUCUCCAGGAAAUGCAGAGAUGGAAUUAGAUACACAACAGGACGUGGGGGAAGUAGCACAGUGAAAAAGAAGAACAAGAAACAGAACUGGGCAAAGAGGAGUCUUCGGAUUGUCAAGAACCGGUCUUUGACUGAACCAACUCACCCUGUGUGGGCAGCACUCUUCACUCCAAGACUCACACAGACC